GAUGAACGCUGACAGAAUGCUUAACACAUGCAAGUCUACUUGAACUUCGGUUUGGGUGGCGGACGGGUGAGUAACGCGUAAAGAACUUGCCUCACAGAUAGGGACAACAUUUGGAAACGAAUGCUAAUACCUGAUAUUAUGAUUUUAGGGCAUCCUAGAAUUAUGAAAGCUAUAUGCACUGUGAGAGAGCUUUGCGUCCCAUUAGCUAGUUGGAGAGGUAACGGCUCACCAAGGCGAUGAUGGGUAGCCGGCCUGAGAGGGUGAUCGGCCACAAGGGGACUGCGACACGGCCCUUACUCCUACGGGAGGCAGCAGUGGGGAAUAUUGGACAAUGGACCAAGAGUCUGAUCCAGCAAUUCUGUGUGCACGAUGAAGUUUUUCGGAAUGUAAAGUGCUUUCAGUUGGGAAGAAAAAAAUGACGGUACCAACAGAAGAAGUGACGGCUAAAUACGUG
rnacentral:rRNA from 1 species